UUUUUUUUUUUAACUAAGAAACUCCACCUAAACAUUCUAAAAUUACUUGAAAACUGUAAAGGGCGGGGGUGUAUUCAAUAUUAAAUUUAAGGUGAUUUGAUUUUUAGUGAGAUUUUAGAUGAUUUUAAUGAAUUGCAGAAAUUAAAGUGAUUUUUGUUAACGCACUCUAGAAUAAUAUCACUUAAAACCAUGUGAUUUGAGUUUGUUUUU
rnacentral:lncRNA from 1 species